GCAGAAUCAGGUGAGGCGCCAGUGCACGGACACCGAAAACGGCUCUGCGCUCCCGGGAAUCGCUAGUUGUCCGGCUGCCCUCCCGACCAAGCAAGCGAGUGAGCGACCGUAGUCAGACCUCACUCAUUUAGCACCGCCGUACUGGCAGAUGGCCAUAUUGACUUCCGAGCCGAGCCAGACUACAUUUGCUACAGCGCGAGAGCGAGAGGGUCCACCAAGCCGACCUACCUCGCCGCGCACCGACGCCGGCGGGCGAGCCCAGCGAAUUAAGCCGGCGGAACGAUACCUCGCGUGCCCGCGCAACGUACGUAAGGCACUAGGCCAACUCCAACGCACGACUUUCGUCCGUUUCGGGGUGAAUUGCUCAUAAAUUAACUGAGCAAUUCCCUUCUUCUUAGGCUGGUUGUAAUGGGUAGUACUCCCUCCGUCUCAAAAUAAAUGUUUUAAGCUUAGUAUAAAUUUAUACUAGAGCUAGUACAAAGUUGAGACAGUUAUUUUGGGACAGAGGAAGUAUCAUAUAUUACUACUCCCUCCGUCACAGUUUAUAAGGCAUGCACGUGUACCUAGAUCGUUAAUUUGACUUCCAUAAAAUAUAUUGUUUAACAUAAAUAUUAUAUCAUUAGAAAAUAGAACAUCUAAAGUUUCUAAUAAUAUAUUUUUUAUAAUAUAUGUCUCUCAUUAAGUUGGUCAAAUUAACGACCUAGAUACACGUGCCGGACUUAUAAACUGAAACGAAGGUAGUAUCAUGCAUAUGAUAUUAGUGUAUGAUACCACAUCUAUAAUGCAUAGUAUCAUAGGAUAAUUCAUUUAUUAUAAUGCAAGACAUAUAGUAGCACAUCAAUAAUAUGAUACGAUAUCGUAUCAUGAUACUCAACCCUCUCUUUCUUCAUUUAAUUCUAUGCCAACUCAUCAAAAUUAUCUAGUUGGCAUGCAUAAUACUACCUAUGAUACUCCUAUUACGGACAGCCUUAAUUAAUAGGACCGCAUCCACUCAGAUUUGUGAUGCGUUGAUCGUGUACCUGGCGUGCUGCCACAUUUCGGCCACAUAUAAUUCUUGUAACAUAUUUUUUAUUAUUUUUUGUUAUUGAUUUGUUUCACAUUGAAAUACAUCAUUAAAUUUUGACUAGAAUAAUAAGAUUAAAGAAAACAAGAACCAUAAGGUGACAUUUUAGAAAUUCAAUUUUUAUAAGUGCUUUCGUAAAUUGAAUUAGUGCCUUCUCGAUGCAUUCAUUGUUCAUACUUCUUUCUUGUUUGAGUUUAAAAAAAUAGACGUUGCUUCUUCGAGAUGGGGUGAGCUAAAAUCCGACCGCGAAAUGCGCUGAAAUCUGACGGUCGGGGUUGGACGGUUCGGGGCGUCGAAGAAAGGGGUUUGCGAAAGGGAAGGGGGCGGGCUAGCGGUCAUGCUGAACAGCGUACAACUGAGAAAUUAUGACAACGGCGACGGCUAGAGACGAGAGGGGAGUGGGGCGCAGGGUGCGACGGGAGGAGAGGAUGAAAUAGAAAAAGGAUAGCAUGUGUCCCGGACGGACGGGCCAGGGAAGGACAUGGACACGUGCCACGCGUCAUCUGCACGUGUUCGUUUAGCCGCAAAUGUGAUCAAAGUUGGAUCAAAAAUGAGUCAAAAACGAACACCCCGCGUUGCAUGGUGACCGGGCCAUUUGGGAUCGUGCUUUUGGAGUUGGCCUUACUCGGCCGGCCGGCCGGCCGGCGUACAUGCAUCAACCGAUAAGGCGGGCAGGCCUGCAGCUACGACCCAUGCCACCGCCGCGUGAUGGAGCGAGGAAGCUGGCCAUCACACGACACGGCACCUUGCAUUGCCCAUUGGCGUGCUGCUUGCUUCCGCGGGGAGCAACGCCGGGUGCAGGGGAUGGAUGCAGCCCGCGUGUGUCAAUCCAAGCGUAAAUGAGGCGUCGGUGACCGUGAGGCGCAGAGGGGGGCGCCAUUAUUCGGCCGGGGGCCGCGCGUCGUGGGAGCGGCCUGAGGUUGUCUGGCGCAGCGAGCAGCGACGCCACCGCUCGGCUCCGUCAGUGUGUCCUGGCGAAACGGUCAGAGUGUUCAGCCGGCGCCCAAAUUUCCAUCGUCAAACAGUUAUUACUGCUACCAAGGAACGGCGGCAGAAGAACGGCAAGCCGGUGAGGCGAAAAAACGACAGGUCGAGCCGGAACCUCACUGUGGCGGACCGGAAACAGAGAGCACCAUGCUACACAGCCACAGCCCAACUGACAGACAAGAUCAUGCUUACCUUUGGCCGCACCCAAACAAGACUAGGAACAAGAGCAAUUGAGAGACAGUUUUUUUUUCCUUUCCAAAAUUCCGUUGGAGGUGUAUGGUGAGAUAUUACUUUGGGGAAGAGAAAGACGCAUUGGUAUGCUUGGAAUAAAAUGACUAUGUCUCUGCCCCUGCUCCGACAAAGCAAUGAGCUUGGAAUAAAAUGACGAUGUCUCUGCCCCUGCUCCGACAAAGCAAUAAGCAUUAGGGUAUCCACCCACCCGCCACUUCGAAUAGCCGGUUUCCUUCCCUUCCGCUAAAAGGUUCUGGGCUACGGCUUCCAGUUCCGGUUCCGUUAAUCGGAGAAGAAGCUACACAAGUACUUAUCUGAUCAGAACGGCAUUUUACACUGUAUAAAACGUCGGAUACAACUUGCAAACUACACGGACAUAAACUAUCAGGGGGGCUCACAUAUAAGGAUAGACCAAUCAAUUUCAAACUGAACAGAUGAUCAUACAAAUAAAUAUCCACGCGAGCGAUUUGUAGCGAGGCAACAUGUUUUUGCUUAUAUACAACCACAAGGCAAAACAACCUAGAACGGAAUGGCCCCGACAGGUAACCAUCCACGACACGCAGAAUCAAGCAGAAAAUCUGUUCUCAAAAGUAAAACAAAAAUCAAGCCAUAAAAAAUAUUGCAGAAUGCCUGAAUAGAAACCCAAAAACAGCUACUGGAAAUCACAGUGAAGAACUGGAUUCAGAUUACCGACGUGUACUAUAUUCUUUCUGCUAGACAAACUCUUGUUGCGAAACAAUAUUAGUGGUUCCAAUUCAGGCCUUGUUGAUUUUGCAGCUAUUCUUUAAAGGAUCAAAUGAUCAAUAGGAGUUCACAUAAAAAAGAACACAGAAAUACCUACAUUGCAAGAUUUAAACAGACAAGAUGUUCAGCUGCACACUCACAUUCACACGAUGUAUCAACAGACUGACGUCAGGAUAACUAUCACAUUAUAAAAAAAGGAAGGCCUCAAGCCAAGAUUCCUUGGAAGACAGCAAAAAAUGACUGGUUUGUCAUGAAUGUUGGACAGUAAAGCACUAAAUAUACGACACGGCUAUACAAGCAAAAUUGCAGUCACAUUUGAAAAGACAACACUAUAGCUGCAAUAUGCCUGAUGUACUGAAAAGAACUGAGAAGCCCCCAUGAUAUUAUGGCUCAAAAGGGAGGCACUCUUCAGGCACAUACAAUCUAUGGUAAGCAAAAACACUUGCAAUAAGAGCAAGCGAAUCAAAGGGAACAUGAAAAUAGUGACAAUCAGAAUUAUAAAUGCACAAAUGCAAGGACAAUUAGCAUAGAGAAAGUACCAGGAGAAGAACCAUAUCUAACUAGCUAAUAAUUAGUGCCUGAGACACACCAGAAUUGUAAGGCAAUAUCGCUGAUCACAAUUCAACUCUGGUGAAUUAUGAAGCUAUUUAUUUAAGAUAAGCAAAACUAAAAAAAAAUAGUGAACAUUUAGUAUCUGAGAUACACAAGAGUUGCCGAGCAAUAUUGCUGAUCCCAGUUCAGCUCUGGUGAACUUUGAAGCUGUUUCUUUAAGACAAGCGAAAAUACCAGUUCGAAUUAAGUGAACAACUAGUAUCUGAGAGACACCGGAGCUGCAAAGCAAUAUUGCUGAUCCCAAUUCAGCUAUGGUGAAUUUUGAAUCUAUUUCUUCAAGACAAGCAAAAAUGCUAGUAAGAGUUCGCAUAGAAAACACAUAGACCUGCAUUGUAGUGAAUAACUAGUGCCCGAGACACCAGAGCUGCAAAGCAAUAUCGCUAAUCACAAUUCAGCCCUGGUGAAUUUUGAAGCCAUUUCUCUAAGAAAAGCAAAAACACCAGAUCAAAUUAGUGAACAAUUAGUAUCUGGGAGACACCAGAGUUGCAGAGCAAUAUUGCUGAUCCCAGUUCAGCUCUGGUGAACUUUGAAGCUGUUUCUUUAAGACAAGCGAAAAUACCAGUUCGAAUUAGUGAAUAACUAGUGCCCGAGACACCAGAGCUGCAAAGCAAUAUCGCUAAUCACAAUUCAGCCCUGGUGAAUUUUGAAGCCAUUUCUCUAAGAAAAGCAAAAACACCAGAUCAAAUUAGUGAACAAUUAGUAUCUGGGAGACACCAGAGUUGCAGAGCAAUAUUGCUGAUCCCAGUUCAGCUCUGGUGAACUUUGAAGCUGUUUCUUUAAGACAAGCGAAAAUACCAGUUCGAAUUAGUGAAUAACUAGUGCCCGAGACACCAGAGCUGCAAAGCAAUAUCGCUAAUCACAAUUCAGCCCUGGUGAAUUUUGAAGCCAUUUCUCUAAGAAAAGCAAAAACACCAGAUCAAAUUAGUGAACAAUUAGUAUCUGAGAUACACCAGAGUUACAGAGCAAUAUUGCUGAUCCCAGUUCAGCUCUGGUGAACUUUGAAUCUGUUUCUUUAAGACAAGCGAAAAUACCAGUUCGAAUUAGUGAACAACUAGUGCCUGAGACACACCAGAGUUGUAAAGCAAUAUUGCUGAUCACAAUUCAGCUCUGGUGAAUUUUGAAGCCAUUUCUCUAAGAAAAGCAAAAACACCAGAUCAAAUUAGUGAACAAUUAGUAUCUGGGAGACACCAGAGUUGCAGAGCAAUAUUGCUGAUCCCAGUUCAGCUCUGGUGAACUUUGAAGCUGUUUCUUUAAGACAAGCGAAAAUACCAGUUCGAAUUAAGUGAACAACUAGUAUCUGAGAGACACCGGAGCUGCAAAGCAAUAUUGCUGAUCCCAAUUCAGCUAUGGUGAAUUUUGAAUCUAUUUCUUCAAGACAAGCAAAAAUGCUAGUAAGAGUUCGCAUAGAAAACACAUAGACCUGCAUUGUAAAAUCUAAAUAGAGGAGAUGUUAAGCUGCAAACUCUACAUUCACAGUAUGUACCGAUGUGAAAUGCUUGGCACACUAAAGCUGUCAAUGUGAGCAUAACCAACAAAUACAGAACAAGAAACGCAUCAAAAGAAGAUUCACUUGUCAGCCGGCAAAUAAAUAACUGAUCCCCCAUGAAUGGUACACAGUAAAGCUGGGUUGCCCUCAAGCUUAAGCCUCUAAGCAAACCAACAAGGGGCGCGCCUACAUAAAACGAUAAAGCCCAAAAGAAUGAACUGUCUAUGAUCUAGCAAUGCCUCCCAAGAUACAGUCAGCUAUAUUCAGCAUUGUGGCUACAAAGAACUGAUGAGCCACACUAUUCAGGCAAACAAUCUAUAGUAAGAAAAGAUAAUACACCAAGACCACGGGAAGCAAAUGGGAUAUGAUGAAAUUAGUAAUCGUCAGAAAAUGCAGAGAGAUAAUUCACACAGAAGUAACCAGGAAAGGGACUUCUCUAACCUAUCUCAGAGGUUAUACACCAAGGCAAAAGGAGAAAGAACUGAGAAGCCCCGCAUAUCAGGCAAACAAUCUACAGUAAGGAAAGAGAAUAAUACAACACGAGCAAGACAAGCAAAAGGAGAAUGACAAGAUUAGUAAUCAUCAGAAUUGUAAAGCACAAUGCAAAGACAACUCAUAUAGGAAUGACCAGGGAAGGACCUUUUCUAACUAAUUGGAGGUUGCACUGAGGCAAAAGGGCACUUGACUAAUUGAUAUGCACUCUACAUCCAUGUAUACGAUAUAAAUAAAGGGACUGUAAUCUACUUCUGUUCUGUCACAAUUUAGUUCAAACUCGAUGUUAAGAGCAUUUCUUAACAGUCUACUAACAUAAUAUAGAACAGUGUAAAUCAGUGUAUUGAACUGCCGAGGAAACUGCGAACUACUCCCUCCGUCCGGAAUUACUUGUCACAAAAAUGGAUACAAAUGGAUGUAUCUAGAACUAAGAUACAUCCAUUCUUACGACAAGUAUUUCCGGACGGAGGGAGUAGAUGUAAGCUUUAGCUGGAAAUGGAUGAGAAUCCUCUGACUACACAGUCCAUGAAUAUAGAUCAAUUCAAAAAUGAACAGCCAACACAUGGAACUUCUAUAACCAUAAUGAAAGAGGCCGCUUUCAAAAAAUGUUUCUACCAAAGAUACCUUCAGAAAGUAAAAUUUAAGAGGUGACAGUUCAGUUAUAACCCCAAUUAAAAAGGUCGCUCUCAAAACUACCCAAGUGCUAUGACUGGACGAGAGAGGAGAAGAAAGAAGAGGAUGGGUUGAUGGGUGUGACCAGACUACUAGAGAGGGCAGCAUCUGAAAUCAUCCUCCGUUCCUCAGACCGGCCACUGACCUGAUCCUGGUACAUACAUGAUUCUUAGACUCUGAAUCAUGUCUAGGGAAAGUUUCUUGAGUUAUUUGGAUAUGAUUGCUAUUCUUUACAUAAUAGACAGUCCUUGCUAAAUGCUACUCCUUUCUUCCCAAAAUAAGUGGCACUAAACAGAAUCCUGACAAUAUAUAUGAACAACAGCUGAGCUUAUCCUUGUCCAUGACGCAGAGACUCAGAGCUCAUGACUGGGAAACAAAUUCUUUGGUCAUCUCUGCUUAAUCUCCUAAUAAAUGGUUAAAUGAUGCCCCUCUUCACAUAAUACAGUACUUCCACCGUCCAUUGGUAUGGAAGCAUGGACCAGAAAGUUCGACACCAGAAAGUACCCUAUUGGUCUGGAAGCAUGGACAUAUAUACUGUAGUAUACAGCUUGAACCAACUAGUGGUAGAAUUGGAGUCAUUGACUGCCAUGGUUAGCCAUGCGCCUGUCCAUGACGGGAGGUAGGUGAUUCCUCAAACAAAACACACAACAGUAAGCAAUCAACACUAUAUGCAUGACAAAAGAAGUGUUCUUUUUGCUAUCUAUCAAGUGUUUAACUCUACAGGUCGUGUGAAGAAUCAGCAUAGGCAGACUUUAACCAGUAUCUAGAGCGUGUUUCAUCAACUUCAGCAUGCAAAAUCAAACAACAAAAACUCAGUCAUCUAACCUAAACACAUUCAGCAGAGCAAGUAGUUGAGGGAAAGGUAGUACCUUUUCGGUGUCAAGCAAAGGGAUAUAAUCAGACAUCACACAUUCAAUCAGCAGACAGGUUUCUCCUUUUCUCUCAUAAAUAGUUCAUCAUUUAUUUAACUAUCCAGUACUCAGUGAACAGAGGUGGUUUCCCCGCCCUCUGUGCCUAGACCAUACAACACACCAGCAUAUUUCUCAGUCAAUCCACCGAAGUAUGACUCCUUGAGCUUGUUGAAAGAGAGCGCUGUGAGCAGAGAAUCAGAGCCUGCCUGAUGGCAGAUUCCGACCCGCUCGACGUCGAGCAGCUCAGCGAGCUUGUUCAGUCCGCCGUGGAGGCUGUUGCAGAAUCUCAUCAAGUGCUUGAUGUCGUAGAUCACGGGGAAGUAAAUCCUGAUGAGGUCGAAGAAGCCGGAGCUGGUGUCCGGCAGGUUGGAGCCGGUGAGCAGCUUGAGCAGGUAGCCGAAGUCGUAGCCGCUGUGGAAGGUGACCCAGUGGAUCUCGGCGUUGAGGACGACCCCGGAGGACAUGAGCAGCUCGGCGAAGCGGCGCGAGUCAGCCCCCUCGGCGGCGUGGCGGGCGAAGUCGAUCCCGCUGCGGCGCAGCAGGUCGAUGGAGUCGGCGGCGGCGACGUCGGUCCGCGGGUCGAAGCCCCGGAAGUUGAACUGCCAGACGCAGGGGCGGCCGUCCGGGCCGAGGGCGGGGAGGCCGCCGCGCUCGUCCGAGAAGGUGAGGCCGAGCUGGAUGAGCUUGAGCAUGUCGACGUUGGCCUUGAGCGUGGCGUAGUUGAAGUCAGCGUUGGACUUGAAGGUGCCGAGCGGGCGGCAGACGACGCCCGGGAACUCGGUGUCCAUGGCGACGUAGGGGUAGUCGUCGACGAUGUCCCGGAUCACGGCGAACUCGGCCUCGAGGUUCUCCGCCCACACCUCGCGGAUCUCCACCCCGUCGGGCUUGUCUACGGCCGGCGUCGCCAUCGGCUGCCGGGCAUCAAAGGCUCGAGCUUUCCCUCCCCUCUCCUUCCUGGAGCCCUCGGAGCGGAGGAGCGGGAGGCGGCGGGGCCCACGGGCGAGCGGCGGGGGCUCCCGUGGGCGGGGAGGUGCGGCGGGGCGGGGCGGGAGGAGGAGAUCCAGGGGAGGAAGGGAGGGGGAGAGGAGCGUGGGAUUGGGGAUUCGGGGGAAGAAGGAGGAGGGCGGGGGGAAGCGCGAAUGGGGAAAGUGGGUGACGUGCGCCGCCCGGGUCGGAUUGGUGCCACGUGGUGGGACCCGCAAAUGGUGGGUCCUGUGGCAUGAUUGCCGGCCGGGAGCGUGAGGAGGGGCGGCUUCCUGGGUGGCUGCCCGGUGGGCCAGGGGCUCGUGGGGCCAUUUUUUUUGUGGAGGUGAGGGCGGCACGUCAGGUGAAGGCUGGAUUGGAACCAGCAAGGAAAACAAGGGGAAGGGCAAGUGUGGAUGAACAAUUUGGUUUUGGUUUUGUUUUGCUUCUUCCGGCGGAGAGAGCUUCGGUGGGAGGGUUUCUUUGACUUGGGGUUGGUCGUUGCAAGUCUUCCUUUCUCUAAGCUUUUCUUUAGCUUUGUUUUAGAGCAUCAAACCCCGUAAAAAAAUAUCCGUACAAUUUCAACGAAUAUACGAGUUCGAUCUGUUUUAGUGACCAUAACAGACCCCGUAUCGCGUAUUUGGUCCAUAAAUUUUUUACAGCGACCUGAAAAAAGACAUCUCCAAUCGGCAUAUAUGCGGUUUCACAACGCGUUUACGGGUCAAACCUUAUCCUCUGCCGCCGCAGCUCCGCCACGAUUCAUCUCCCAUUCAACCCUAAUUUCCCGCCGCCGACGAGACAAAAAACCCAUAGUGGGUCGUCCCGACCAUGGACGACCACGAAAAUGGAGGGGAUGACACUGAGCGCCAUCGCUACCGCGCCUCCAACGCCGACUCCGCACCUCUGCCGCUAGGAGUUCGUCCAGGGGCGCCUCGUCCUCGUGGACCAUCACUCCGGUGAAUAUGAGGGCAGAGGAGCUCGGGCCGCUCGCCGUCAAGCUCAAGGACGACGACGUCCCGUUGUUUGGAGUGGUCAUCGGCCCCGAGGACUACCUCCCCCGAGGCAGGAGGAUCACCUCAUGCGCGCCAUCAUGGAGCGCUCGGUGGGGAGGCGGGGGAGGACGCCGCGAGCUCGAGAUCGAGCAGAUCUUCCUCGAGCAAGGGGACACAGUGUUGCAGGCGAGCGCGUCCAAGAAGGCGGACCUGCGCGUCCUGAAGGCCGAGCAGGACAAGAUCUGGAUCGACCUCGACUCCGUCGAGGACAGAGCUCCUUCGGCUCCUCCGUCGCGUCGUCGCCGCCACACCCGUUAUUUUUGGUAGCCUUGGCUCGGGUACGCUGCACGGCCCGCAGAUCCCCCUACGUAGUAGUAGUAUGAAAAACUGAUGUAGUUUGAUGAAGAAGUGAUGUAGUUUCAUGAAGAACCAUGAUGUAGUUCGAUGAAAAUUAUGAUGUAGCUUCACCCGCAAACUUUUUUUUUCAAAUUUUACAGUUUCAUAUACAAGGUUAGAUCUUUGGCGCACGAAAUGACACCGUAAAAUUGUGUAAACCCAUUUUACGGAUCGCUCUUUUACGGGAUCUCCUAGAUAUGCUCUUACAUUUCCUCUCUAAUAACAACUAGGAAAUUGUUUCCGUGUUGCAACACGGAUACACAUUUUCUUUUCUUUCUGAGGGUAGGAUGCACAGUUAAAAUGUUGACAUAUAAUAAGAGUAAAAAUGGAGAAAACACUUCAUUUCAUCCCGCUGAUAACGCGCACGCGUCCACCUCCUUUGCUACCAAUCAUACGUCCUGAUAAAAGCCUACUAUCGUCUGCCGCCCCGCCUUCACGUGUCUUGAUGAUGUAAGAACUGCACCGUCCAUCGACCCACCUCACGUCUCAAUCGUUGGUGUCAUCGAUGUAUGAUUUCUGCAAUAUUAUCUUUGUUGCACAAAUUUUCUGCAACAAGGCCUUUGUUAUAAAAAUAUAUACACACGUUUCUGCAACAUGAUUUCUAUUGUAAAAAAAUUACAAACAUUUCUGCAACAUGAUCUUUGUGCAAAAAAUAUUCUAUAACAAAUUUAUUGCAAAAAAAUCUACAAAUGUUUUGGCAACAUGAUUUUUGUUGCGGAAAGUAUUCUAUAAGAAACUCUUGUUGCAAAAAAUAUUCUUCACGUGUUUCCACAACACUAUCUUUGUUAAAAAAUAAUAUUUUAUAAAAAACUUGUUGCAAAAGAAAAUCUACAAAAGUUUUUGCAACAUGGUCUCUGUUACAAAAAAAAAAUUAUAACAUGAUCUGUAUUGCAAAAGUUAAUAGACCAUCAACCACUUGAUGACGCUAGAUCUGGCGGCUAGCAACCCGAUUGAUCUUUUAAGAGAUCGGCCGACAAACACGUAGCACCGCUCUAAAAAUAGGCACACAAAAAGACUACUAUUGUACUACAACACCUGACUCGUGAGAAAGAUUCCAUGACAAUACAAACGGACCGUUGAGUAGAAAAAAUAUAACCAUAACAAUGAAACAUGCUUUUCAUGAAUGGAAUAGAUGUCACGGUAGCAAAAAUGGACCGACGCGACACACAAAAAGUAGUUCUAGGCCAUGCUACUUUAGUUCCCGUAUCAAUCACCAAUUACCAUGUUACCCGCAAGAAAAAUCAUCAACCAUCAUGAAUCAACUAUCAUGAAAAUAAGAGGAAGAUAGAUUAUAUUGAACCAGGAUAUUAAAGGGCCGGUUCACACAUCACAACAUUUUGCUUUGAAUACAGAUAUUGCUCUAUCCAUCUUUGUCGAUGAAUACUCGCAACAUAAGUCAUGGGUAGGCUAAAAAUGACGGGAACCAAAGUGACACCGGAGGGCGCUGGGAACGAGGUUGGUACACGCAUGGAACGGACGAUGUACCCAGGUUCAGGGCUCUCCGUAGAGAUAAUACACCUAGUCAUGUCGGAGUGUAUUAUGUAUGAAUGAGACUACAAAGUGCUCCUGGAGCUGUAUUGUGGAGGAAGAAGGAGCUGCCGGCUGCGUCUGCCUCUCUUAUGUGGUUGGUGUGUGUGCUCAGUUGAUCGACCCUCUGCAUGGAGGGGGAUCGGGGAGGUUUAUAGACGAACCCACCGACCUACAAUAUUGAUAAAAGUACAAGUGUGGGACCCGUCUGGCAGCCUCGCCGGUUGGCCAGGGGGCCCACACGGGUCUUGUCUUGUCGCUCUAGGGGCCCGCCGGCUGCGAGGUCCCGUCUGGUUGUGGGACCCGCCGGCUAGCCAAUAAGACUCUCAUGUAAGGUUGACGCAGGACACGCGUGGUACGUCCGGCGUCGUCCAACGAGAUUCGUCAUGGGCAGACGGUACGACCCUCUCCACUGUUCCCACGUCGAGUGCAGUAAUGGAGUGAAAGUUUGACAGGCCGACACUGUGAAGGGUGAUGGAUCAGAGCCGGAGGAGGUCAGCGGCCUGGUCGCCGACGCUGGUACCUGUCGUGCACUCUCAUCGAGUACCUUUGCUGACGCGUAGACACCUUUAACCGUAGGGUCUCGUCAUGACCUAUGGUCUGAUAUGACUGGAGAUCCCCAGUCGGCUAGCUUGCUUGACUAGCCGGCCUGGGCACGGCUGCCUCGCCCCUAGCCGGCUGGCUUGGCCUAGGCGGCCAGGGGGAGGUAGCCGUCUCGCCUCUAGCCGGCAGGUGCUUCCUGGCCGGCGAGAGAGUUGGCCGCCUCGCCCCCCAGCCGACAGGUGCUUCCUAUCCGACCAUGGGACUUAGGCCUUGUAGAAUUGUUCUGGUUAUUCCUUAUAUGCUGAAGGCAAAGGAGCAGGCUCGCUGAGC
rnacentral:lncRNA from 1 species